AAAAAUUUAGUUAAGUUAUAACNUUUNUUUGUCAUACUAAA
rnacentral:tRNA from 1 species